AAUGUGAAGGAUCAAGUCCUUUACACUACCUGUGUCAGAGAGUGUUAAGUCCUAACUGGAAAAAAGUGAUAUUGCUGAGAUGAACUGGCCUCAGUAACUUUGAUCAGAAUUUGGCAGGGUAAAGACUGGCUCCAAGGCACUUUUAUUCUGCAAGAUAAUAAGUAGGAUCUGUGUCAUCUCUUGGAUACAGGCUAUGUUAUUCCAUAACACUGUGGUUCUAUCACACUGGAAAAGAUAUUUGCCAAAAUAUCUGCACCCAGUAUCUGUCAAAAUCCCAAGUUAUUAAUCCCAAUAUUUAUGGAUGUGGGGACAAUAAAAUUUAGCCAACAUAUUUUUAAACAGCUCCCAUUGGUUUGUCAGCUCAUCAUCAAUCACAUCCCAUGCCUCCUAUAGCAGCUGCAUGGCAGAGUUCCACAGUCACAGACUGGCCAAGGUUGGGAAGGACCUCUGGGUCUGAAUGAUUAAAUCCCUUUUAAAGCAGGGACACCCAGAGCAAUGUCUCCAAGGUCACACUCAGGUGGCUUUUGAAGAUCUGUGGGGAGGGAGACUACAACUUUUCUGGACAACCUAUGUCAGUGCACUGUCACUCACACUUCUAGAACAACACUGCUAAGUGCUGUUUGUAGGGUCAUAGAAGGUAAAGUAGCAUUGACAAAACUUCCUGAAGGCCACUGCUUUUCCUGCAAGGAUAUUUCCACCUGUGGUUUUGGCCUGAGUAGUCAACAUGACUAGCAAUAUGGUAUGAUUGUCAUGAGAUCUGGUGCAAAACCAGCAUGUACUUUGAGCAUCAAGAGAGAUGAUAGCACUACCUUCACAGCUUCCAGCACAGCAAGAAAGGGGCCAGUACUGGCAGUGCUGGAAGUGGAAGGAAAGGAUAGACUGAUGAAUUCUAGUGGUAGCAGUACUUCAGUGACUAAAGCAUGGAGUUCAGAGGAUGGAAACACAUUAGGAUGA
rnacentral:lncRNA from 1 species